UACGGAGGGUGCGAGCGUUAAUCGGAAUUACUGGGCGUAAAGGGUGCGUAGGUGGUUUGAUAAGUUAUCUGUGAAAGCCCUGGGCUCAACCUGGGAAGGCCAGAUAAGACUGUUAGACUUGAGUAUGGGAGAGGGUAGUGGAAUUUCCGGUGUAGCGGUGAAAUGCGUAGAGAUCGGAAGGAACACCAGUGGCGAAGGCGGCUACCUGGCCUAAUACUGACACUGAAGCACGAAAGCGUGGGGAGCAAACAGG
rnacentral:rRNA from 1 species